rnacentral:rRNA from 1 species
UACUAGAGUAGCACUCGCAUAUCAAUAAGCGGAGGAAAAGAAACUAACAAGGAUUCCCCUAGUAACGGCGAGUGAAGCGGGAAGAGCUCAAAUUUGAAAUCUUAAAGGGUUUCCCUCUACGAAUUGUAGUUUAAAGAAGUGUUUUCUGUUGAGGUUUUGGUAAAAGUUCUUUGGAAUAGGACAUCAUAGAGGGUGAGAAUCCCGUAUUUGACCUUUACUUUCAACUUUGUGAUACACUUUCAAAGAGUCGGAUUGUUUGGGAAUGCAGUCCAAAAUGGGUGGUAAAUUUCAUCUAAAGCUAAAUAUUGGCGAGAGACCGAUAGCGAACAAGUACCGUGAGGGAAAGAUGAAAAGAACUUUGAAAAGAGAGUUAAACAGUACGUGAAAUUGUCAAAAGGGAAGCGUUUGACACCAGUGUUGUUUUUCUGAAAAUCAAUUAAAGAACUGUUUAUGCUAAGUUGUUUAGACUUUAUCAGCUAUCUGCUUAGUUUUGAGCUUUUCUUUAAUGCACUUUUCAGUUAACAAGUCAACAUCAAUUUCUUUUGCUGUAAAAAAGCUUGAGGAAGGUGGCUUGAGAUUCGUCUUAAGUGUUUAUAGCCUCUUGCCUAUGCAGUCGGAGAGAUUGAGGUCUGUAGCGUAGAUCCUUCGGGGCUAAAUGCAUUUGUGCUAAGUUAUAGGCAUUUUAUAGACAACUUGUUGACUAUGAUUUGUCUUGUAGCUUACUCGCUUAUGUUAUUUUACCUACGCUUAGGAUGUUGAACUCUAUCACACACAG